CCUACGGGGGGCAGCAGUGAGGAAUAUUGGUCAAUGGGCUUACGCCUGAACCAGCCAAGUCGCGUGAGGGAAGAAUGCCCUAUGGGUUGUAAACUUCUUUUGUCAGGGAGCAACGCCGGCUACGUGUACCCGGACUGAGAGUACCUGAAGAAAAAGCAUCGGCUAACUCCGUGCCAGCAGCCGCGGUAAUACGGGGGAUGCGAGCGUUAUCCGGAUUUAUUGGGUUUAAAGGGUGCGUAGGCGGAAUGCCAAGUCAGCGGUAAAAGCGCGGGGCUCAACCUCGCUCAGCCGUUGAAACUGGCGUUCUUGAGUGGGCGAGAAGUAUGCGGAAUGCGUGGUGUAGCGGUGAAAUGCAUAGAUAUUACGCAGAACUCCGAUUGCGAAGGCAGCAUACCGGCGCCCAACUGACGCUGAGGCACGAAAGCGUGGGUAUCGAACAGGAUUAGAUACCCCAGUAGUC
rnacentral:rRNA from 1 species